GUAGGUGGCAAGCGUUGUCCCGAAUUAUUGGGCGUAAAGCGCGCGCAGGCGGUUCUUUAAGUCUGAUGUGAAAGCCCACGGGCUCAACCGUGGAGGGUCAUUGGAAACUGGAGAACUUGAGUACAGAAGAGGAAAGCGGAAUUCCACGUGUAGCGGUGAAAUGCGUAGAGAUGUGGAGGAACACCAGUGGCGAAGGCGGCUUUCUGGUCUGUAACUGACGCUGAGGCGCGAAAGCGUGGGGAGCAAACAGGAUUAGAUACCCUGGUAGUCCACGCCGUAAACGAUGGGUGCUAAGUGUUAGGGGGUUUCCGCCCCUUAGUGCUGCAGCUAACGCAUUAAGCACUCCGCCUGGGGAGUACGGCCGCAAAGGCUG
rnacentral:rRNA from 1 species